UGCUGAGGAAGGUGCUAGUUGC
rnacentral:miRNA from 12 species